rnacentral:lncRNA from 1 species
AAGUCAUGAAUAAGAGACUCUGAAGCUUGCACGUCAGAUCUUCCUCAAUUAAUCCACCAUUAGCAUGUUUGGGAACCACUACUGGAUGGUUAACAGCAGCUUUUGUAACUGUACGCCGACCAUACCCAAUUAUGCUCUGCUAAAAAUGAACUCUUUGCAGACCAACCCUCUCGGGUUGUCAGUGUUUUCCGUUUUCCUAUUUUAACGUUUGUGUAUAGUGGCAGGCGACAGAUGGUGUAGAUCAGAUCGAUUUGAUUGCAUUAGAUGAUUUUUUUUUUCCCUUCCCCACUCCUUUCUGGAGGCUCGCAUCAGCUGAAGGCUAUCGCCUGGGACUCCUCGGAAGCGUGAGCAAGCCGCCACCACGCGAAGGCACGGGGGCACAGCCAGCGCAAGGCACCGAGGUCCCUUCCCAGGGCUUGUUAACGCUGUAAUCCAGCACUCCGAAGCAAGCAGCUCCCACUGCCCAGAGCCUACCUCACUGCUCAUCAGAUGACUCUCUGGCUUCUACACACAGUUGGAGUUCCGCUUGAAACCUGGAUUUAGAGGGGCUCUCUCGCUGCCAUGACACUCAAUCAAAACACCUAGAGUGAGCUGGCUGAGACCAGAGGGGGUACCAAGCAGAGCAAGGACAGAGGAAGGCACUAGGAGAGCGCCAGAAUUGGAAAGAGAGCAGCCAUUUGGAUUUGGGCAGGAAGCAGCCGAGCACAGCUUUGGAUCCUUCUUUAGGGAAAUCGAGUUAUGGAUUUAUGGUCCCGGUCAAGCUCAGCCCAACCCCAGGCAGGGGCGGGCUCAGCAGCAAGAGUUCUGGUGGCGGCGGCGGCAGUAGCAGCGGCAGCGGUAGCAGCGGCAGCAGCAGCUUGGUCCUCUGACUCUCUUCGGUGACGGGUUUUGGUUGGUUGUUUCAAAUAUUAAUGGACAGAAAACCUAACGGAUCUGUCUAGCAGAGGAGGGGUCCUAGCGAAGAGCAGGCAACAACACACUGGCCCGCUCCACCACCCCCGGUCACUCCUGGGGACAACCGGAUGUGGCAGGAUGGAGAUGCCCAAGAUGGUGCUGGAAAAGAUUUGCCAUCGUGGAAGGCGCGGGCCAAGGAGGCUCCAGCUCCCAGCUCUUGGCGGACUUAAGACCACGCAGCUCUGCAACUCCUCUUUCCCUCCAGGGAGGCGCCAGGGCCGGCCCGAUGGCGGCCCUUCAAAGGUGGAAGGAGAAACAGCGAUGGACCAGAACCGACCAAGCACCUCGAAGGUUCCACGAGGCCCGGCAAGAACUUCCUAGGACGCCAAGACCUAAGUUUCCUCCCUGCGUGGUGGCCGUUGAUUGUGCAGGAACUGCGAAGGCUCAAUUCCCGAGAAGUCGAAGCUGCAGGAGGGGGGCGGAGAUGAGAAUCCGGCGACAGUUUCCUUCGCAGCUCUCCCAAACCAGCUCUAAACUAAGUGACGCCCCAGACACCUCUUCCCUUCGGAGGACCGGCCUUUCCCAGACGCGACGUGCUUGUUCCCCGCUGGGUUCUUGCCCACGAGAGCAGAUCUGAGCCCUGGAGACGUUGGGAGCAGAGUGUCUCAAAGGAAGCAGGCUCGAUUUCACACUUUCCCGUCUAGAGUCUGGCUUUUCUUUCAAUGCUUUGGAUUCCCAGUGAAGGGUACACGCCUCCCCUGUCCCUGUUGUACCACACCACGUCUGAUCCCACCAUUACUUCCAGGGUAUCUGCGCUCACAGUUUUUGUGCUCAGGGAAGGUGGUUGUUUGCAAAGAAAAUGAGUGGGGGCUCUUCUCAGAAGCUCCCAGGGCUGGCAAGCCCAUUUUAAGAAUGAGUCUAAAUAAAAAAGAAAACACAGAUACUAUCUUUGCACUUGGCAUUCUAUCUCUAGUAAGAGAAUUGGUAACUAAGGUUCUUUCCUUCAUUGUUCCAUGAAUUACCCACUUUCUCUAGGGAUCCACCAGUUGGUGAUUAAGGGCUUUUAAAUAUUGUGCUUGUUAUGUAUUAGCAAAAUGCAACAUAUCUGCUAGUGUCCUUGUUUCAUUAGGAAAGUAGAGAGCAGCUACCUGAUGUAGUAACUGGGUGGUCUUUGGAAAGUUGGCCUCAUGCUGCUUGGCGAAAUAAGUGUAUGAGAUUUGAAGGGCAGAAAGGAAGCUGAGAAGCUAGUGACAGAGUUUGCAAGAAAUGAACGGUGUAAUACUCUGGCAUGUGUUGAAGCAAAGACGAAGAACUUUAGAAAAAUAAGGUAUUUCAUUCAGUUCUUUGCCACUGGUACUUUAGCUCAUGGUAGCAAUUUCUUCAUAAAUGGAUAAUCAUUUUUAGGGUAGAUUAAUUUAAAUGAUAGUAGUGAAAUCUAGAGGAAACUGUACUCAUCUCAUGGUCAACAAAGUAUUUUAUUUUCUUGGUUCAAGGGGUUUAAAUACAUAUUAUUUUCUUUCAUUUGCAGCAUUAUUUCUUAUAAAAGUUUCCAUUAGGUGUCAGUCUGACUGAGCUGGUAUCUAGUUAAAUUUAGAAAGAAAAAAAACCCAAAAAAAAAACAAAACAAGUUUUACCAUACUUGGCCUUUUUAGACAAGGGGGAGGAAAAUCUCCAAAACUUUCUUAAAUUGAAAUUGCUGUAGCUAAUUGCUAUUGUUAUAAGGCAGCUUUUUUUAUUCCCUCAGAAAACAGAAUUUUAAAUUACAUCACCACUAACCAGUUAUCACUUUUGUCCUGUUAGUGUCCAUAAACAAGAUUAAAGCACACACAGGUUGUGUGUUUUUCAUGCUGGCUCUAAGUAAUUCAAAGUACUCACAAUAGUGGAAUUGUUUUUUAACUGAUGUCCAAAUACUUAGAAGGGUAUGAAUCCUUUUUUUAAAAUUUGGUUUGCUUUACAAAGGUGAUAGAAUUUCCACCUGAGAAAAGCAUGUGGAUAUGGCUUAGACUGUUUAUUUGAGUUAUCCUUAGGGCACAAUGGAAGGGAGGGAGGAAACUUAUGAAAAUUGCUUCUAUCUAUUAUUUUUCCCUUAGUUAAGUCUGCCUAAGUACUCAAAUUUUUAUGAACACAAUUUAUGGCUUUUGGUAGAAGAUUUUAGUUUUUUCAUUGAAAUUUAUAUGUCUGUGAACAUUCAGAUACAUACUGUGAUAUUCAUUAAUAGGUAAGAAAUAUCAACUUGGUUGAUUUACUACUGAGUCUCAGGUAAGGAGCGUGAUAGAAACUGCUUUUUAUAGAGGUUUCUGAUUUUUCGUUUGUGAAUCACAUUCUGAUAUUUUUGCUUCCAUAGAAUGCAGGGGAUGGUGGUAUUCAGGGUUAAAGAUCCAGUGAGGGUUCAGAUAACCUCUAUGUGAAUACAAAAAGGAUAGAUAUAUUUUACAGACAAUUCUGAUCAAGUACAUUUUAACGUAAAUAAUCAGAUCCUGGAGCCAGGCUCUCUCCCCAGGUCCACUGCUAGCCCUAGAACGAUGUGGUUCUUGAUGUCACAGCAGUGCUGAUCUAGAACCAGAACAGAACUGUCAGUGAAUGUCCAGGCAAAGGAAGAGAAAUGAUGAGGUAGCAUUUUGAUGGAUGGAAAAUUCCAUGUCAUAUUACCAUUUUUAAUUAUAUUUGAUAUAAGUACCAGUAAAUUUUCACAUCUAAAAUAUACUUUUUUUUUUUUUUUUUUUUUUUUUUUGUCCAGGUGAGGUGUAGAUGAUGGGUAUAUUGGGGAAUAUUUUGUGCUUUUAUAUAGAACUGAGGAGAAGAACUAGAGACACAGAAGACAAUAUAUGAUCACAAUUAUUCACCAACAUUACAAUACUGUACAGUUUCAGCUGUCAUUGAAUCACAGAAAUGACAGGAUAAUGUUCUUACUCUUAGAGAGUAGUGUAAUCUGCAUGCUGUACUUACUAUUUAAAAGUAAAUUUAUUUGCUGAUAAAUGUUUUCAAUAAAAAGAAAACAUAUUAACAGAAUACUUAAAGACUUUUAUUGUUAUAUUUAGUUAUUACAUUUAGAUAUUUGUAGUUAUAAACCCAUAAACAUUAAGGCUAAAUAUAUUUUAAAGAGUCUUGUAGUACAAUUUGUUUUUCAAAGUGUUUUGAGAUGUUCUCCUCUGGCACCUAUACUUUGAAUCGUGCCUUAGAAUUCUUACGUUUCAAUUUACAAAACAUUUUGUGUAAGUAUAUAUUAUAAGCAAUUUAAUUGUGAAGACAUUGCAACUCAUCCAAAAAAAUAUAGAGAGAGGUUAUAAAAUUUUAACUUUCUUGAAAUAGGUUUAGUACCUGGUGAUUACUUGUUUACUGAGUACAGCUUGAAGCAGAACUACUGUGGCCCUAUUAUUUGUUUGUUUGUUUGUUUGGUUUUUUUUGGUCCAGAUUACAGAUGUGACCACCUAAAUAUUUUGAGUUCUGAGUUCUGUUCUGUGCUGGUUAAUAAUGAGAGCUAUGUAACACAAUCUGAUCUCCAAAAUCAAUUAAAAGUGUUACAUUGUCUAUACAAGUGUAAAAAUAACACUUCAUUUGCUCUAUUUGUGGAAAUACCCAUUGAGAUUCAGCAACAAUCCACAGUGCUGAAAAUUUACACACACGCCACCUAUAGCUGGAACUAAAAGUUAAGAAAAAAAUCGAAGAGUAAACUAUGAACUUUAAAAUAUUCAAAGAAUUUUAAAUAAUGCUUCCUACAUUUAUUUUAUUAGCUUCAAAACAGUACUGAAUCUCAAUUAUAUUUCAAACUAAAGAACACAUAGUGCUGUAGUCUAUUUACUAAUACUAUGUUUCUGGUUAAAAUACAGUUUAUAUAAUAGCAUGUUUUUUUAAGUUGGCAAAUUACAGAUGAUAGUGGCAUAAUUGCAUAAUUUGAAGGUAGUGUCUUUUAAACUCAAAAUGUGUGCUCUGAAGAGACACUUUCUAAAAAAUCAUUUCGGUAAGCAUGAUAUAAUUUAACUGGAAAUUGAUAUUUCUUGCAAUUAAAAAAAUUUAUAUCCAAUACACAAGUAAAAAUUAAUUGUUUGAGGUCUACUUUUAUCUCUGUGCGUAAAUGUGGCCAAUUUUAAGAACUGCUUCAAACGAGUCCAAAGAUAAACUGAAGUUAGUUAGUUAAGAUUGUUUUUGUAUGUCUGUCAUAUGUUCCAUUCAAGAGAAAUGAAUGAAUGAAUGCACAAAUGAAUGAAUGAAUGAAUGCCAUGCCUAAUAUUCUAUCAGAAGCACACAUCCAAAAACACUUUUUCUUUAUAACAGAAACUUAUUAAGAUAAGACUUAAAAAAUAUUCUAGGUUAUUUUAUGCAUAACUGCCAUGGAAUUAAAUGUAAGAAUGGUUACUUUAUGGGUCCACUUUCAUGCAUAAUUUGUUUUCAUAACUAUUAUUUUAAAGAGGCUUUCACAGUGUUUACAAAGACAAAGGAAAUUAGAGAAUCAAGGCAGUUACAUGGGCAAAGCUUGAAUCUCAUUUUUUUCCUCAGUUAUGUGAACUUAAGGGAAAAGAGUGUAUCCUGUGGUGGAAAAUACUUUGGAAAAAGGCUAGAAAAUUUGCUUUUGAGUACAGAUUUGGGAACUGUGACUAGCUGCAAGGCUUGCCUGGCCCUCAGUGUCUCAUCCACAGCAAGGAGGGCUGCAUUUAGAUUCUUUCAAGGCCAUUCUACUUCUUAUGAAUUCCAUUUCCAACAUGCACCCCCCCUUUUUGGCCUGAAUUCUACUCUUCAUUUUAUUUGUAGAUGGUGGGCAAAUCGAUACCACAGCUAAGAAGGCAGGUUUUAAAAAGACAUAAAUCUUUCAGAGGUAUUCACCCAUGUAUUUUGUCUUGAUACCCAACACGAAAUUUGUCUUUAAGAUUUUAACUUAAAUUUUUAAACCAUGAGCACAUGGAAAUAUUUUUGCCACUUCUUUGCCCUUUGAUUUCUAUAUAGUUUUAGAAAGGCCCUCAAAAGAAUGACUUAUGGAUUCAUCCCAGGGUGUUUUUGUGGGAAUGCAUGUGUAUGUAUGUGUCUCUAUGUAUAAUACACGUGAGGCUCUCAAACAGUGGAUACACCUCAAAAACAUUUCAACCUAAUAAGACCAAAAUACAAACAGCUCUUUUUAAAUCAGUGUAUGUGAUUAUAGUGAAUAAAUAACAAACACUGCAUAUUUUUAAAUGUUUUCUCUGUAUGUAAACAUUUGUGCUAUUAUAUUUAAGUACAAUUUUUAGAGGAAUGAGGAAAUCACUAAUUUUUCAUUCUAUUAAAAAGAAAAAGACUAAUAUUUGUCUAGGAUAUUUAAUUCUAAAAUAGCAUAGCAAGGAUAUCUCCUUUUAACCUACCUUGUCCGGUGCCUGACACAGGAUAGGUGCUUAGAAAUAUUUGUUAAUUUAGUAAAAGCCACUAUAUCCUUUCAGAACAUGUUAAUACAGAAUUUUACAUGUUUUCCAUAGUUAAUGGCACUUUAAAGAAAUGGCUGUUGAACCGCAUAUAAGGCUUAAUUUAAUGUUAAUGUAAACUUUAAUUCUCAAGUUUGUUUAUUAGUGGUGCUGUUAUUCUUUUUAUAUUUAUGUUCAUUUUUAAUGAAAUAUAUUUGAUUUAAAGUAUU